rnacentral:piRNA from 1 species
UGAAUAUAUUGCAUUACUUCCACAGUU